AACGCACCUUGCGCUCCUUGGUAUUCCGAGGAGCAUGCCUGUUUGAGUGUCAUGGUACCCUCAAUUCUUCACAUUUUUUAAUGUGCAUGAAUUGGAUGUGGGGGUAUGCAGGUUUCUCUAUUGAAAUUAGCUCCCCUGAAAUACAUUAGCUGGUUGCCUUGUGCAAACUUGUCUAUUGGUGUGAUAAUUAUCUACGCCGUGGACUAUUUGCCGUUUUUAGCACUGCUUAUAAUCGUCUGUUCAUUCGGACAAUAUAUGACAAUUUGACCUCAAAUCAGGCAGGACUACCCGCUGAACUUAA
rnacentral:rRNA from 1 species